CACAUGGAACAGCCACGUGGAUAUUCAGAAACACAACUACACAGCACAGCCAGUUUCCUUCAGUACAUGCUCACGGAGCUCGGCUGCCUCCACUUCUCCUCGGGCUGAGGAUUCACCUUCCUUUUGGCACACUGUCACCGGAGUUGUUUCAGGGAUAAUGGGACAUUUUCUUACAUUCUUAUUUCCAGUAGCAUAGAGUUAAAACAGUUUCUUCUAAUUUUAGCUGAGUGUGAACUGAAAAGCAGAAAUUUAUUGCCUGGAGGCCCAUAUCUAUUUGACUGACCUAUGACCCCAUUAGUACAUGCUGCUACUAUACUUUAUGGCAUUCCACACCUGUAUUGUGCUGCUCUUGACAUCAGCAUCACUUAAUAUGAGCAGAGACAUUUGUAUGUUAAUGACCAGAAUAUCUGAAGAAGUUAAGUAGAUGAUUAAAGAUAUUGCUAGUUUUGUUAGCUCUCCAGAGGUUGAGUCCAUGAUAAUUUUUGCUGUUCUUCCAGUGAAAUCUCCUUUAAAAUCUCUUUUUCUCCUAUUAAAUCCAACAGUUGUGGUAUAGGUUUUGUAGACUGAAAAACAAAAAAGUAAUGGAAGAGGGAAUAUCUGUAAAAAUAAAUAUGUUUCUAUCUGAAGCUUUUAUUUUAUUAAUCAUUGGUAGAACUAAUGAUCUUAUUGAAGCAGAAGGAGCAGAAUUCAUUGUAGACAAUUCUUUGACUUGAUUGCUGGAAAUAGAUUCUCUUUCAUUAAAUAAUGGAACACCCUAUUAUUUCUGUAGUAGCUCUUUUAACCAUACUGUCCUUGCAGAGAGUGUUUUGGGGAGCAUAUGGAUAUAAGGAAGGAGCAUAUGAAGGAGUGCAGGAUCUGGCGGAAAUGCAAUUAGUGCCACCACCUUCAGAGAAGCCACUUAAUCAUUUAAAGGCACCAGGAAAAUAGCCUCCAUGGAACAGAACUGCAGCAAUCUUUCCAUUUUCAGUGUUUUCACACUACAGCCAGCCACUGACUGGGAAACACUGGAUUCUCCUCCACUUCUAUCCUCUGGCACAAAAUUUCGUUUCCUACUGUGAUAAGUGAUUUAAGGUCAACUUUUCUGUAUUUACAGUGUGUGGCUUAAAAUAUAAACACCCUUUGUGCUUUGUUAUUGUGUGCACCACUGAAUGCUUUCACAGAUAGAUGCUGCUAUAAAGGAUGGCUUAGAAAUUCUAAAUGAAAAAGCAGCCAGUGCCACUGGGGAAUAGAGUACUCUACCCAUAAAGGCACAUAGUCUGCUUUGACCAGUUCACAAUAUAAUGCUCUUUAUGAAACAUAUUUAGUGCAAGGCUGAAGUUUAUGUAUCAUAAAAGAAGACCAAAACAAUCUUUCUGUCCUUUUCAGCCUUUGGUGGGGGCUUUGAUCAACUAUUUAAUUAAAAAUGGAGGUGUCUCAAGUUUUGAGUUCUGAUGCAGUUCUGCAUAAAAAUGGAAACAGAGACCUUUCUGGAGAACAAGUUCUCACUUUUCUUUCUGUACAAGAAUGUCACGACAUUUUAAAGCCUAUGGGCACUUUGUUUUCUUCCACUCCUUAAAUAAACAGCACAAUACUUUUUGAACA
rnacentral:lncRNA from 1 species